GGCCUCCGCGGUUGGUUCGGCGGCCGCGGGGCUGCAGCUCCCGGCUCGCACUCCAUCAUCGACGGAUGACAGCGGGAACGGUGGGAGUUCAUUACAGGGACCAUGAAUUGUUGGAGGAUGUCAAGCAGUGCCCCCAAAAGCUGUCAAGGCCGUCCUAGACCAGCGGGGCCUCAGGAGAUGGUGCAGAGUCCUGGACCAGACAAACGGCACUGGGAAAGCAGGAGCCCAAAGGAAGGCUGGAAUUCAGGGAAGAGCCACGUGCCAGGCUGUGACGAAGGCGACAAGAUGAAACAGUAGGGGGGCGGGGGAGGCAUCCAAACUCUAUGUGCUGUCUUUGCACUACUCUGUAAAUCUAACAUUAUUCGGAAGUGAAAGUUAAAAAUCACUCCGGCUCUG
rnacentral:lncRNA from 1 species